AUGCUUCCGUAUCUUUUAUAAUCUUCAUCUCUCUUCUUUAUUCUCUUUUUGUCUACCCACUUAUCCUUUUUUUUAUUCUUCAUCUCUCUUCUUUAUCAAUACUGCAUCCUUUCUCUAAAAUCAAGAACAACGCUGCAACUCUCUAUUUCUCACAGUAACCGCUCGGCUCUCUCUCAAUCGUUCCAGCCAUCUCCUCCCUCUAACUUCCGCCGCCGCGGCUCCUCCUCACACGACUCGCACACACCAGUCACAUCUCCCUCGCCUCUCUUCUCUCCCGUUGCCGCCGACUGCUGCUGCUUCGCCGAAGUCGCUGCUGCUUCGCCGAGUCGCUGCUGCUUCGCCGAGUCGCGGUUGCUGCCUGGAACUGCUGCCGCUCGCCGCCUGCGGCUGGAACCGCUGCUGCUGCUCGCCCGCCAACUGCUGCUCGCCGCCUGACGGAGGCAACUGCUGCCUGAGCACCGAGCCGCUGCUGUAGGGAGGCCAACGAACAGCCGGGUCUCGAUCGCUUGUCGCACGGUCUCCGCCUGAAGUCGCCGAGUCAGCCGCCUUCGACUGCUGCUGUCGCCGAGGAGUCCGCCGACUGCUGCUGUUCGUUGAGGAGUCCGCCGGCUGCUGUUGCAGAGUUCCGACGGCCACCACCGUCGUCGGCUGCCGCUGCCUCGCCCAAGACCGACUUCUGCUGCCAAGCACCGAACGCUGCUGCUGUAGGGAGGCCGGCGAACAGCCGGGUGUUCGCCGUUUCCAGUUCUUCUCCGAGUUCCGAAGCCGGUGAGAGCUCCAUCAUCGCGUCGUCUCGUUCGUCUCUCGGUUCAGGCGAAGUCGCCCCUGCUCAGCUGGACGACCUCCGCCUCCUCUUCAUCGGUCCGCGUCGACGUCAUUUGGUACCCGUCCCCGGUUUAAUGAAAACAGGUGAAUAUCAAGGUGGGGGUGGACGAAUUUACACAAGGUCUCACCUUGAACUUGGCAGGCACCGAAUGAAGAGCUCCUUAGAAACCUUAGGUGUGGAAAUGAGAAUGAAAUGAGGGUGGCUGCUGAUAAGGUGAUGGACAAAGCAUGGCUGCAUAGGCGUGGGAAAAAAAAAAAGGGUGCAGCAGGCUCAAGAGAAGAUAGGGGAGUGUGCAGCACAUGUCUCCAUACCUUAUUGUUUUUCACAUUUUCUUGAACUUAGGGGGGGUGGCAGAGUACUGUAGCAACACUGUUGAGUACUGUAGCAAUAACUAUUGAGUACUGUAGCGGUACUGAUUGUUUUGUGUCUACAAUAAAUCUUUCAUUGGUUCUGUAUUAGAAACUUUGGUAUCGAGUUUUUCUAAUAUCGAGCACUUGUAUUCAGAUACAGAUUAAUCGAAUAAUUCUUGUAUCCGA